rnacentral:rRNA from 1 species
GUGCCAGCCGCCGCGGUAAUACGGAGGGUGCAAGCGUUAUCCGGAUUCACUGGGUUUAAAGGGAGCGUAGGCGGGCUGUUAAGUCCGUGGUGAAAGCCCUCAGCUCAACUGAGGAACUGCCAUGGAUACUAUCAGUCUUGAAUGUCGUUGAGGUUUGCGGAAUGGGUCAUGUAGCGGUGAAAUGCAUAGAUAUGACCCGGAACACCAAUUGCGAAGGCAGCAGGCUAAACGAAUAUUGACGCUGAGGCUCGAAAGCGUGGGGAUCAAACAGGAUUAGAAACCCCAGUAGUCC